AUUGAACGCUGGCGGCAGGCCUAACACAUGCAAGUCGAACGAAUGGCGGACGGGUGAGUAAUGUCUGGGAAACUGCCCGAUAGAGGGGGAUAACUACUGGAAACGGUGGCUAAUACCGCAUACCAUCGGAUGUACCCAGAUGGGAUUAGCUAGUAGGGGGGGUAACGGCUCACCUAGGCGACGAUCCCUAGCGGGUCUGAGAGGAUGACCAGCCACACUGGAACUGAGACACGGUCCAGACGCCUACGGGAGGCAGCAGUGGGUAAUAUUGCACAAUGGGCUCAAGCCUGAUGCAUCCAUGCCGCGUGUAUGAAGAAGGCCUUCGGGUUGUAAAGUACUUUCAGCGAGGAGGCGUUACCCGCAGAAGAAGCACCGGCUAACUCCGUGCCAGCAGCCGCGGUAAUUC
rnacentral:rRNA from 1 species